CAAUAGCGUAUAUUAAAGUUGUUGCGGUUAAAGCUCGUAGUUGGAUUUCUGCUGAGGACGACCGGUCCGCCCUCCGGGUGAGCAUCUGGUUCGGCCUUGGCAUCUUCUUGGUGAACGUAUCUGCACUUGACUGUGUGGUGCGGUACCCAGGACUUUUACUUUGAAAAAUUAGAGUGCUCAAAAGCAGGCUAUUACGCCUGAAUAUUCGUGCAUGGAAUAAUAGAAUAGGAAGUCGUUUCUAUUUUGUUGGUUUCGGAAAUCGACUUAAUGAUUAAUAGGGGACAGUCGGGGGCAUUUGUAUUCAAACGACAGAGGUGAAAUUCUUGGACCGUUUGAAGACAAACUACUGCGAAAGCAUUUGCCAAGAAUGUUUUCAUUAAUCAAGAACGAAAGUUAAAGGUUCGAAGACGAUCAGAUACC
rnacentral:rRNA from 1 species